rnacentral:rRNA from 1 species
UGGGAACGCGAAGAACCUUACCUACUCUUGACAUCCAGAGAACUUAGCAGAGAUGCUUUGGUGCCUUCGGGAACUCUGAGACAGGUGCUGCAUGGCUGUCGUCAGCUCGUGUUGUGAAAUGUUGGGUUAAGUCCCGCAACGAGCGCAACCCUUAUCCUUUGUUGCCAGCGAUUCGGUCGGGAACUCAAAGGAGACUGCCAGUGAUAAACUGGAGGAAGGUGGGGAUGACGUCAAGUCAUCAUGGCCCUUACGAGUAGGGCUACACACGCGCUACAAUGGCAUAUACAAAGAGAAGCGACCUCGCGAGAGCAAGCGGACCUCAUAAAGUAUGUCGUAGUCCGGAUUGGAGUCUGCAGCUCGACUCCAUGAAGUCGGAAUCGCUAGUAAUCGUGGAUCAGAAUGCCACGGUGAAUACGUUCCCGGGUCUUGUACACACCG